rnacentral:rRNA from 1 species
AAUCCAUAGGUUAAUGAGGCGAACCGGGGGAACUGAAACAUCUAAGUACCCCGAGGAAAAGAAAUCAACCGAGAUUCCCCCAGUAGCGGCGAGCGAACGGGGAGGAGCCCAGAGCCUGAAUCAGCAUGUGUGUUAGUGGAAGCGUCUGGAAAGGCGCGCGAUACAGGGUGACAGCCCCGUACACAAAAGCGCAUGUGCUGUGAGCUCGAUGAGUAGGGCGGGACACGUGGUAUCCUGUCUGAAUAUGGGGGGACCAUCCUCCAAGGCUAAAUACUCCUGACUGACCGAUAGUGAACCAGUACCGUGAGGGAAAGGCGAAAAGAACCCCGGCGAGGGGAGUGAAAAAGAACCUGAAACCGUGUACGUACAAGCAGUGGGAGCCCCACCACCAAAGCAUUUGCUGUACCGCGUUGACGGAGCGAAGCGACGUCAAACCGAUAAAACAGCAGUGUAAAGUGAGCCGCAGGGCGCUUUGCGCGACAGCGCAAAGGCAGGCGGUUUCGCGUAGCGAAAGCGAAUGCUUUGGGGUGGGGUGAC